rnacentral:tRNA from 1 species
UAAAUAACUUAAGUAAAAGAGUGUUAUAUUGAAGAUAUAGAAGUGAUUAAUUUAAUCUUUAAAUAAGU